rnacentral:rRNA from 1 species
CUUGCGCUUUUGGAGCGGCCGAUGUCUGAUUAGCUAGUUGGUGAGGUAAAGGCUUACCAAGGCUUCGAUCAGUAGCUGGUCUGAGAGGACGACCAGCCACACUGGGACUGAGACACGGCCCAGACUCCUACGGGAGGCAGCAGUGGGGAAUUUUGGACAAUGGGGGAAACCCUGAUCCAGCCAUGCCGCGUGAGUGAAGAAGGCCUUCGGGUUGUAAAGCUCUUUCAGCCGGAACGAAACGGUCACGGCUAAUACCUGUGAUCACUGACGGUACCGGAAGAAGAAGCACCGGCUAACUACGUGCCAGCAGCCGCGGUAAUACGUAGGGUGCGAGCGUUAAUCGGAAUUACUGGGCGUAAAGCGUGCGCAGGCGGUUUUGUAAGUCAGAUGUGAAAUCCCCGGGCUUAACCUGGGAACUGCGUUUGAAACUACAAGGCUAGA